rnacentral:rRNA from 1 species
AUGGAGCACAUAUAUCAGAACUGUUGGAUUAUUCAAGCUAAGGUCAUGUGGAAGGCUCACAUCAAAGAGAAUGGCAUGGGAAACUUGUACCUUCAGUGCAUACUACUCGAUCGGCAUGGAACAAAGAUGGAAGCGAUUGCGUACAACAGCCAGGCAAUCCGUUUCAACAGCAUGCUACAAACCGGUAGGACCUAUGAUUUCAAUCGCGUCAGGUUCAGCCCCACAGAAAUGCAAGAUGGACAUUUCUGGUACCUAGCCAUGGACUUUGUCACCACACUAAGUUCUACGACUGAGGUAAAUCGGAGGCAGCGAUGCUUGCAAACUAUGAGGGAGAGCACAUUCAUCUUCUCUCCUAACAUUAAUGAUGGUCAUCAUUAUCUACAAGAUAUCCAUGAAGCCAGCCUCAUGACACUUGAUGAAACAUGUGCGUACGUCAAUGGUGUUGUUCAAGCUAGGAACAAUGGGCGCUAG